GUAUGUAUGUGUGUGUGUGUGUGUGUGUGUGUGUGUGUGUGUGUGUGUGUGCGUUUGGUAAAGGGAUGUCAUACAGUAAGCGUGCCGGCGCUUGCUUAAACAAAGAUCAGUGAUACAGGCAAAUCGGAAUAUGCAUUUAUCUUACACUGGUAUCAAUUGUUAUUGUUUUUAAUAUUAUUGUUUUAUAGUUAUACAUUGUUGUUGUUGUUUAGCAAUGGCCUUUAAGCAUACAAACAUUCUAGUACUUAAUUUUUCACGCAUGUACUUGACACACAUUUACAUACAUAAAUAUUUAAUUAGUUUGAA